GAUGAACGCUAGCUACAGGCUUAACACAUGCAAGUCGAGGGGAAACGCCAUCGAAAGCUUGCUUUUGAUGGGCGUCGACCGGCGCACGGGUGAGUAACGCGUAUCCAACCUGCCCAUCACUUGGGAAUAACCUUGCGAAAGUAAGACUAAUACCCAAUGACAUCCCACGAAGACAUCUGAAUGGGAUUAAAGAUUUAUCGGUGAUGGAUGGGGAUGCGUCUGAUUAGCUUGUUGGCGGGGUAACGGCCCACCAAGGCAACGAUCAGUAGGGGUUCUGAGAGGAAGGUCCCCCACAUUGGAACUGAGACACGGUCCAAACUCCUACGGGAGGCAGCAGUGAGGAAUAUUGGUCAAUGGGCGAGAGCCUGAACCAGCCAAGUAGCGUGCAGGAUGACGGCCCUAUGGGUUGUAAACUGCUUUUAGAAGGGAAUAAAGUGGGUCUCGUGAGACUUUUUGCAUGUACCUUAUGAAUAAGGACCGGCUAAUUCCGUG
rnacentral:rRNA from 1 species